CGGGCGGCGGCCCUGGGCUCAGCUGUGCGCCCGCCGCCCGCCCGCCCUCGGCCGGCCCUCGCGCAGCUAAGAGCCAGCUCAGCCUUAGUUGGCCACUCCACUCUGCUCUCCUUAUACCAAGAGGUAUAGGCACCAUUCAAAUAAAGAAGGGAAAACUGAGUCCUGAUGUGCCAGACUCCUGGUUUCACACGCAUUGCAGCUUUUGGAAGUUAGUCUUCAGGACAGAAGAACAAGGAGAAGAAGGAGGGGGAAGGCAAAAGAGAGGAGAGGAAGAGGCGGGAAAAGGAGGAGAAAAAGAAUCUGUGUCUCUGGACCAAGGAAGACUGGAUAGGGGAACAGAGACAUCUCUCUACCUCCCAUCACCUUCUUGAACAAAAAGGAAAAUUAAAUAGUACCCCCAAGUAAUUUGGAUUUGUGAUCACCCAAACUCACUACUUUAGAAAUCAUCUACUCCAACUACUGACUGAGGAAACUGAGCCUAAAGUGGAAGGGACUUGCCCAAGGUCACCCAGCAAAUGAGCAGCUGACCCUAGGCCAGAACUCUGAUCUUCUGAAGAAAACUAAACAGGACUCCUCCCACAUCCCAGUAAGAACAGGGUGAGGAGACGGGAGGAGCACCAGGAAGAUGCCAUUUCACAUCUAACCGCUUCUUGUCAUGUUGUAACCAUUUUUCUCAUAUGGAGCCCCAUGAUGAUGAAUCAGAAGUAGCAUUUUCAAAGUUCUAUCCUCAAGGAAAUGGCUAUUAAUGUUCUUCUUCUCUUUUUAGAGUACUGAGGAAUACAUAUUAAUUUUCUCUAUACUUAUAUUGCCUAUUUGCAAAUUGUAUUCACUACCCAGUGCUCCAAUUUGCCCUACUCCUGAAGAGGUUAUGAUGAAUGGAUGUGUUCCUGGAAAUAAAAUAAAAAAUUUGUCACUGAGAUUUACUUUUAUAAUUAUUUACAGGGAUUAUGUGCACAUGAGGGUUCUGGCGUGAUUUACCAAUAUUAAUUCAGAGUCUCUUCCCACUUCUUUGAAAGGAGCCCCAGUUUUUUUUGCAGCUCUGAGCUGGGGCAAAGCAAGUGUCAGCUACAUGUGGCAUCACCAGCACGUGGCAUCACCAGCACCAGAAGGCUG